CCUACGGGGGGCAGCAGUGGGGAAUAUUGGACAACGGGGGGAACCCUGAUCCAGCCAUGCCGCGUGUGUGAAGAAGGCCCUCGGGUUGUAAAGCACUUUCAGUGAGGAAGAACGCCUGGUGGUUAAUACCCAUCAGGAAAGACAUCACUCACAGAAGAAGCACCGGCUAACUCCGUGCCAGCAGCCGCGGUAAUACGGAGGGUGCGAGCGUUAAUCGGAAUUACUGGGUGUAAAGCGCGCGUAGGUGGCUUGAUAAGCCGGUUGUGAAAGCCCCGGGCUCAACCUGGGAACGGCAUCCGGAACUGUCAAGCUAGAGUGCAGGAGAGGAAGGUAGAAUUCCCGGUGUAGCGGUGAAAUGCGUAGAGAUCGGGAGGAAUACCAGUGGCGAAGGCGGCCUUCUGGACUGACACUGACACUGAGGUGCGAAAGCGUGGGUAGCAAACAGGAUUAGAUACCCCGGUAGUC
rnacentral:rRNA from 1 species